AUGGAUGCCGAUGAUGCUCAUAGACACACAUACAUCCAUUCGUUGUUUUACAGACACACACAUAUACGAGCAGAAUUGUUUUACAGCCACACACAUAUACCGGCAGAAUUGCUUUUGAGGGCCAGCAGAACACACAUACACGGAUGCUCGCCCGACUGCACAUGCACGGACACUCGCCAGAUUGCACGCGCACGAGCUCUGAACCGCAUGUCAAGCAUCUCUGAGUUGCAUGGCAUGGUCGACGGAUUGCAGGGGAAGAGACGACACUUGCCGGACUGCACACGCACGAGCUCCGAACCGCAUGGCGAGCGUCUCCGAGCUGCACGGCAAUGGUCGACCGACCAGAUAGGAAGAGAUGGUGCUUGCCGGACUUCACAAGCACGAGCCCUGAACCGAAUGGCGAGCAUCUCCGAGUUGCACAACCACAACACCCGCAUGCACAGGAUCUUGGUGCAGCAGCAGCCAGGAAGAGGUCAAGGGGGUGAGGGAUUCAUACCACACAACAUAGCAGGAGGAUCCCGCGGGAGGUGGCAUGGCUGGCGGUGA
rnacentral:rRNA from 1 species